AAUCGGUCAAGGGCCCAAGGAGCUAAUCAGAUUUUAUCUAUUCAGAUUUUCAUGAUUCAAUCAAUUCAUUGAGCUAAAUCAGAUUCUGUAUUUUAUUUCUCAAAGUUAUGACUAAUUAAACAUAUUAAACUCAAUUAAUCGCCAUUAAUAUACAGAUUUUCUCUUAACAAUGCAAUUAAUAAUAAACACAAACAAUUAUCUGAAAGAGGAUUAGGGUUACGUGUUUUUGUGGCCAUUGAGAUCAAUUCCUGAAAACUCAAACUCGCUCCUCCAUCUCAACUCCGCGGCGACAGCGCGGCGAGUCUCAGUCGGAGCUUCCCCGAUCUCUCAUGGUUCUCGUUCAUCUCUCCGACUCGAUUCUCAUCAUCGUUCUCGUUUCACGUCAUCAGUCUCCGCCUCGUAUCUCCGAUGGAACUCUUCGGCUAUCAUGGACAAGAAACAGAGCUAUAUCUCGCAUCUCCGGCCAAACUCUCAUCGUCUCUUAAUGUUUCUCAAUCUCAACUCAUGAACCUUCAACGGCGUCAGAGCUCUCAAGUUCCCUCUCGAUUGGAGAAAGAGUUUGGUGCGCUUUACAAAAUCCGGUCGCGUUCUUGAGGAUGAUGGAGAUUUGAUGCCGAUUCAGAGGUGGUGAAAGUGAAUAUUGAUGAUUGGAGAUUAUUGAUGAAGGUGAAUUCCGAAGGUUGAAGCGUGAAUUGCAGAAGUUUUGUUACGUGAAGGUUUUGCCGUCUUUGAUCAAGAUUCGAAGAUUGUUGUGAUAUGCUUUUUUUGUGAAUUUUCUGUGGAUUGAAGGAUGAAGAUGAGGAUUGUUGAAUUCUCAAGGUGAUUGAUGAAGAGUUUGUGAUUUGUUGAAGAUUGGAGAGUAAUCGAGAGCGAGGAAAAGUUUGUUACGGUUUCUCUUCCAAUUUCUGUUAUCAGGUUGAAUCAAGAGAGAAAGAAUUGAAGAGAAUCGUGAAUGUGAAGAUGAUGAUGAUAGAAGGAGUGAUGAUGAACGAUGAAGGUUCUUGAAGAGGCUCAAAGUUUGUUACGUUUUUGGUUAUCGGUGGUUCAAUCUUUUUGUUUUCUGUUAUUGAUUUUUGUGGUGAAUGAUGAUGUUGAAGAUUGAUGAGAUGAUCAUUGAUGAUUGAAGAGGUCUUGGAGAAAAGAUUGAAGAUGAGAUGCGAUGAAGGUCGAGAGAGAGAGAGAGUCGAUGAAGUUUGUUGUGAAGAAUCAUCUCAAGAUUGAAGAGUGAAUGGCAGUUCAAUCCAUCAAGAGAACGAAUCUCUCCCCAAAAGUUUGUUAUGGUUCUGUUACCAUUUUUUUCCUUCUGUAACGUGAAUUCUGAUAUAUAUCCAUUCCUGUUAUUCUGAUUUUUUGUUUUA